rnacentral:tRNA from 1 species
UGGCUCAUUGGUCAAGAGCACUGGCUGCUCUUCCAGAGGAUCUGGGUUCAAUUCCCAG